GAUGAACGCUAGCUACAGGCUUAACACAUGCAAGUCGAGGGGUUUCAAUGGAGCUUGCUCCAGCGGAACGACCGGCGCACGGGUGAGUAACGCGUAUCCAACCUGCCCUUCAUAUUGGUAUAGCCUCCCGAAAGGGAGAUUAAUCCCGAAUAACAUAUUUUGGUUUCCUGAUUAGAAUAUGAAAGCUCCGGCGAUGAAGGAUGGGGAUGCGUUCCAUUAGAUAGUAGGCGGGGUAACGGCCCACCUAGUCUACGAUGUCUAGGGGGUUCUGAGAGGGAGGUCCCCCCACAUUGGAACUGAGAACGGUCCAAACUCCUACGGGAGGCAGCAGUGAGGAAUAUUGGUCAAUGGGCGGCAGCCUGAACCAGCCAUACCGCGUGUAGGAUGAAGGUCUUAUGGAUUGUAAACUACUUUUGUACUAGGGUAAAGGCCUUAUCGAGAAUAGGGAGCUGAAAGUAUAGUACGAAUAAGCAUCGGCUAACUCCGUG
rnacentral:rRNA from 1 species